CUCCUCUCGAGCUAUAGCCAGUGUGCGGGGCGUUCUCGAGCGCACUGAAGGGAAGAACAUUGCCACGAGCUCACCGUGCACUGCUGCUCUCGCGCUCACACUAGAAAACUAUGGAAACUUGCAACUUGAAGAAAGCGGUGCGUGCACUCCUGCGGGUCUGUCUGUCGAGUGCUUGCAUUCUGCACGCUUGUCUAGGUGGAAGUUUAUACGUCAGAGAUAUCUCAGACGAGGAAACAACUACAGACACGUACGGCGACUACAACAACAUCAUUGAGUAUGAAUAUUAUGAUAAUUCUUCAUUGUAUGACUAUCGGGACUUCGAGGUGAUAGGCAUUGACUCAGCACACAGGCUUGUCUUGCCCUGGUAUCUACUAGGGAUCUGCGUGUUGGUUUUCCAGACUCUCUGCGCACUGUGAACCAGGUAUCCAAGCUGCUUCAGAGCAUCACUGAAACAAGCUAAAUAAAGUUACAGAAAUCAUUAUGGGAUCAUUUUGGGAUGCAGGGAGAAUUUACUGCAGCUUUCACACACUGAACUGCGUCACUUUGUAAUAGUUUGAGUUCCAUGCAUAUGAGAGCAAUGCCACUUCAUGGGAAAUCUCAGGUAUUGCCACAGCAAGCCAUUCAAAUGAUUUUCUGUCAAACAGUGGAAACAUCUUCUUGGUCUCCUUGUUAAAACACGCAGUAAACGAUGAAGGAUCUUCAUGAAACUCUGUACACUCGCAGGGAUUCAGGUGAAUUCGGGAUGCAAUUUGAACUAUUUCAGGACCAAGCAUUUUUCAGUGGGAUGCUCCCCCAGGACCAGGCAUUUUUCAGUGGGAUGCUCCCCCAGGACCAGGCAUUUUUUGUUAUAAAAAUUUACUAAAAAAAAAAUCCAUUUUUUACAGUAGCAUCUUGGAAAUGGUUUCCUUUUUUCAGAACACUCUGGGGAACAUUAUAAAGUACUUCAGGAACCAUACACACUUUUUGCUUUUUUCAUAUAUAUAUAUAUAGUGCCUAUAGAAAGUCUACACCCCCUUUCAACAAAAUGUUCACCAUUUGUUGCCUUAAAAUGCAUUAAUAUAUCUUUUUUCUUCAUUUAUCUACACAUCCUACCCCACAACUUCCAAGUGAAAAAAAUAUUCUGGAAAUUUGUAGAUAAUUAAUUAAAAAUAAAAACUGAAAUAGCUUGGUUCGAUAAGUGUUCAUCCCCCUUGUAAUAGCAAUCCUAAAUUAGCUCAGGUGUAACCAAUCGCCUUCAAAAUCACACACCAAGUUAAGUGGCCUCCACCUGUGUUAAAUUGUAGUGAUUCACAUGAAUUCAGGAUAAAUUCAGCAGUUCCUGUAGGUUCCCUCUGCUGGGUAGUGCACUUCAAAGCAAAGACUCAACCAUGAGCACCAAGGCGCUUUCAAAAGAACUCCGGGACAAAGUUGUUGAAAGGCACAGAUCAGGGGAUGGGUAUAAAAAAUAUCAAAGGCCUUGAAUAUCCCUUGGAGCACGGUCAAGACGAUUAUUAAGAAGUGGAAGGUGUAUGGCACCACCAAGACCCUGCCUAGAUCAGACCGUCCCUCCAAACUGAAUGACCGAGCAAGAAGGAGACUGAUCAGAGAGGCUACCAAGAGGCCAGUGGCAACUUUGCAAGAGCUACAGGCUUUUAUGGCCAAGACUGGUCAAAGUGUGCAUGUGACAACAAUAUCCCAAGCACUCCACAAAUCUGGCCUGUAUGGUAGAGUGACAAGAAGGAAGCCAUUUACUCAAGAAAGCCCACUUUGAAUCCUGUUUGAAGUAUGCAAAAAAACACUCUGUAGCCAUGUGGCAAAAAGUUUUGUGGUCUGACAAAACUAAAAUUGAACUUUUUGGCUUAAAUACAAAGCGUUAUGUUCGGCUCAAACCCAAAACAGCACAUCACCCAAAGAAAACCAUCCCUACUGUGAAACGUGGUGGUGGCUGCAUCAUGUUAUGGGGAUAUUUCUCAUCGGCAGGGACUGGGGCACUUGGAUAGAAGGGAAAAUGAAUGGAGCAAAGUACAGAGAAGUCCUUGAAGAAAACCUGCUGCCCUCUGCAAGAAAGCUGAAACUGGGACAGAAGUUCCCUUUUCAGCAUGACAACGACCCAAAGCACACAGCCAAAUCUACACUGGAGUGGCUAAGGAACAAAAAGGUAAAUGUCCCUGAGUGGCCCAGUCAGAGCCCCGACCUAAACUCAAUCGAAAAUUUGUGGCAUGAUUUGAAGAUUGCUGUCCAUCAGCGCUUCGACAGCGCUUGAACAGUUUUGUAAAGAAGAAUGGUCAAAUAUUGCCAAAUCUAGGUGUGCAAAGUUAGUAGAGACCUAUCCCAACAGACUCGCAACUGUAAUUGCUGCCAAAGGUGCUUCCACCAAGUAUUAACUCAGGGGGGUGGAGACUUAUCCAGUUAUGAUCUUUCAGUUUUGUAUUUUUAAUAUAUCAUUUUUUUCUCAAUAAAAGCUUGUUUCCUCUUAACAGUGUGGAGUAUGGUGUGUAGAUAAGUGGAAAAAAAUCCUCAUUUAAAUGCAUGAAACUCUGAGGCACUGACACAACAAAAUGUGAAAAAAGUUCAAGGGGGUGUAGACUUUCUAUAGGUACUGUGUAUAUACAUAUAUAUAUAUAUAUAUUUAUAUAUAUAUAUAUAUAUAUAUAUAUAUAUAUAUAGUGAAAGCUGUCUUACUGACAUCAAGGUAUGGAUGUCUAAUAAUUUCCUUAUGUUAUCCUUCUUAUCGCCUAUAAAGCCCUAAACGGUUUGGCCCUGGUCUGUUUGAAGGCUCUUUUGGUCCCGUAUGCCCCUGGCUGGCCCCCCUGCUCCCAAGAUGCAGGGCUGCUAUCUGUCCCAAGGAUUUUAAAGCACAGGACAGGUGGUAGAGCAUUCAGUCACAGGGCACCUGAACUCUGGAAUGCUCUACCAUGCACAGUGAGAGACCCACCUACACUGGCAUUUUUUAAAAAGAAAUUAAAAACAUACUUUUAUAAUAGGGCUUUUAUAUCUUUAUAAUAUUUCUUUUUUUAUAUAUAGUUGUAUUCCUAUUUAUUCGGUUUGAGUUCCUUAUCUGUAGCUUUAAUUUGCUUGAAUUUUAAAAUGUUGUUUUCUCUUGCUGUUUUUAUUGUUUAUAUUGUUGUUAUUGUACUAAAUGUUCUUCUGAAUGUCUUUUCUUUUUGUUAAAAGCGCUUUGGGAUGGGUUGCCAUGAAAGGCACUUUAUAAAUAAAAUUUGAUCUAUAUAUAUAUAUAUAUAUAUAUACACUGAACAAACAUAUAAACGCAAAAUGUAAAGUGUUGGUCUCAUGUUUCAUGAGCUGAAAUAAAAGAUCCCAGAAAUGUUCCAUAUGCACAAAAAGCUUAUUUCUCUCAAAUUUUGUGCACAAAUUUGUUUACAUCCCUGUUAGUGAGCAUUUCUCCUUUGCCAAGAUAAUCCAUCCACCUGACAGGUGUGGCAUAUCAAGAAGCUGAUUAAACAGCAUGAUCAUUACACAGGUGCACCUUGUGCUGGGGACAAUAAAAGGCCACUAAAAAAUGUGCAGUUUUGUCACACAACACAAUGCCACAGAUGUCUCAAGUUUUGAGGGAGCGUGCAAUUGGCAUGCUGACUGCAGGAAUGCCCACCAGAGCUGUUGCCAGAGAAUUGAAUGUUCAUUUCUCUACCAUAAGACGCCUCCUACGUCGUUUUAGAGAAUUUGGCAGUACGUCAAACCGGCCUCACAACCGCAGACCACGUGUAACCACGCCAGCCCAGGACCUCCACAUCCGGCUUCUUCACCUGCGGGAUCGUCUGAGACCAGCCACUCAGACAGCUGAUGAAACUGUGGGUUUGCACAACCGAAGAAUUUCUGCACAAACUGUCAGAAACCGUCUCAGGGAAGCUCAUCUGCGUGCUCGUCGUCCUCACCAGGGUCUUGACCUGACUGCAGUUCAGCGUCGUAACCGACUUCAGUGGGCAAAUGCUCACCUUCGAUUGCCACUGGCAGGCUGGAGAAGUGUGCUCCUCACGGAUGAAUCCCAGUUUCAACUGUACCGGGCAGAUGGCAGACAGCGUGUAUGACGUCGUGUGGGCGAGCGGUUUGCUGAUGUCAACGUUGUGAACAGAGUGCCCCAUGGUGGCGGUGGGGUUAUGGUAUGGGCAGGCAUAAGCUACGGACAACAAACACAAUUGCAUUUUAUCGAUGGCAAUUUGAAUGCACACAGAUACCGUGAUGAAAUCCUGAGGCCCAUUGUCGUGCCAUUCAUCCACCGCCAUCACCUCAUGUUUCAGCAUGAUAAUGCACGGCCCCAUGUCACAAGGAUCUGUACACAAUUCCAGGAAGCUGAAAAUGUCCCAGUUCUUCCAUGGCCUGCAUACUCACCAGACAUGUCACCCAUUGAGCAUGUUUGGGAUGCUCUGGAUCGACGUGUACGACAGCAUGUUCCAGUUCCCGUCAAUAUCCAGCAACUUCACACAGCCAUUGAAGAGGAGUAGGACAACAUUCCACAGGCCACAAUCAACAGCCUGAUCAACUCUAUGCGAAGGAGAUGUGUCGCGCUGCAUGAGGCAAAUGGUGGUCACACCAGAUACUGACUGGUUUUCUGAUCCACGCCCCUACCUUUUUUUUUAAGGUAUCUGUGACCAACAGAUGCAUAUCUGUAUUCCCAGUCAUGUGAAAUCCAUAGAUUAGGGCCUAAUGAAUUUAUUUCAAUUGACUGAUUUCCUUAAAUGAACUGUAACUCAGUAAAAUCUUUGAAAUUGUUGCAUGUUGCGUUUAUAUUUUUGUUCAGUAUAUAUAUAU